AGGAGGAUGGAAGCCUAACCCCGACACAACGCAGACAUCCAGCCAGCCCCAACCUGGUGGCGCCACUGUGUGGAAGCAGAGGAAGAGCCCUACUGGAGAAAGCCAUGCACAACAACGAGCGAUGCCACAGCAAUGAUGUUCUGUCCAGCGCGCGGUCCUGGGGGGUGAGGAUCCUUCACGUUGAUGAUUUCAUUUGGUGUCUGGACCUGCUGACUGAACGCUCCAAACAGAAGAGACCUCAGGCAAAAGCAUCUGAAGCUCCUGCCAAACGUGUGGUUAAAGCUGGAGCUCUGAAGACGCCUUUCAUCAAAGUGGAGGACAGCAGCAGGUCAG